rnacentral:lncRNA from 1 species
GAUCAAACUGGAAGUUAAGCAUUCGAGUCAAAUAUAAUUGGGUAGGCAGGGGGUCAGCAUUCAAAACUGUAGAGUAUACAGAAGAGCAAACAAAAGGAGAAGAAAAAAAGAGAAGGACAAAAAAGAAGAGAACAAAAGAGAAGAGAACGAGCGAUUAGAGAUUGCAGAGGCCUGGGAUACCAUUUCAUUUGCACAAGUAAUAAGGGGUUCCAUGUUAAUAACUCAAUCUAUUUUUAGAAAAUAUAUUCUAUUAUCUUCAUAGAUAAUAGCAAAAAAUAUUGGAUGUAUGUGCUAUUACAACUUCCUGAAUGGGAGCUUAAAAAAUAAACGCCAAAAAAGAUCAAGAUCAAGAACAUGAAAAACGGCAUCAA